GAUAACUCAGCAACACAACAAAAAAUUCUACACGGGUGAUGUUAAAUAUAAAAAUGUUUAAACACCGUUCUUUAACAGUUUAAGUUUUUAGAGUACAACGGUUGUUUCACAUGGUAUCAGAGCAGGAGGUCCUGAGUUCGAGUCACGCCAGGCUCCUAGCAUAUUAAUUUUCUCCCAUUUAAUUCAAACCCACGUCAUGGGCCGACUAAAAAGUCUCGAGCCCAGACGUGAGGGGGAGUGUUAAAUAUAAAAUUAUAUAAACACCGUUCUCUAACAGUUUAAACUUUUAGAGUAAAACAUAUAACAAAACAAAUUAAAAGAGAAAAGAAGACCAGCUAUAAACUAAGUAGAAACGAUAAUUAAAAUUAAUUAAUACAACUAAUAUAAGCCGAUACGGUGUGUAUGCAUGUCUAAGCCAUAUAUAUAUAUAUAUAUAUACUAGUUAUAGUGCACGUGCAUUGCACGUAACAUU
rnacentral:lncRNA from 1 species